AAUUGAAGCAUCAGAAAACUCUUCCCAGUGAAAUUGUCCAUCUUUGAAUUUUGAAUAGGUUUCUGAAAAAUGAUCAUUCUUAUCUUCCCAGUGAAAUUGUCCAUCUUUGAAUUUUGAAUAGGUUUCUGAAAAAUGAUCAUUCUUAGUCUCAUACUAAAUUGUUAAGUUACAUAUUAAAUUGCAUAUUUAAUUGAGGCAUCAGAAAAAUCUUCCCAGUGAAGUUGUCCAUCUGUGAAUUUUGAAUAAUUUUGUAAAAAAUGAUCAUACCUAGAGGAAUCAGUGUGAGGUAACUUUGGAAGGCGAAACCUCUACUUUCAUAUCUUUUACGUUCAUUUCGUUUGAACCUGUUGAACCUACAGCAAACAAUGGAGCGACAAAGUAAAUAUGGGUUUUUCCUUAGAAAUUUUACAAAAUCGACUCUUCUGCGAUUAAUAAAUUUCUUUCUAACUCGAGUUAUUAUGAAUUUCAAUUUGCAUUUAUAUUUAGACAUUUUAAACAUUUUUCUUAUUUGAUCAUCUUCCAGUAAAAAGUGUCAAGUGGCAGUAGAAUAUCCUGUUUCCUUAUAUUCGGAUAUUACUACUUUAUUUCCAUUUUCUCCAAAAUAUAGCGCAGUGCACCAUUCUAAAUACUUUUGUGUCGACUAUUUUCACAUCAAAACAGCCCAAACUCUCCUGCAUUAUAUUCCAAUAUUGCUACUUCACUUUCAUUUCUUUUAAAAUGGAACGAAGCAAUAUUUUAAAUACGAAUUUUCCCUUGGAAUAUUUUCAUCUUAGAAUAAUCCAAGUAUUUAUAUUCUAAGUAUCGCUACUUUGUGUCUCUUUCCUUUGAGAUAGCGCAGGAGGCAAUUUCCAACAUUUUUACAGUGGAAUAAUCCAAAAUUCUUUACUUGCAUUUCCUUUAAAAUAUACACAACGCAGAUUAUUAUUUUAAAUAUCUUUACGUAGAAUAUUUUCAGAUUAAAGUAACCCAAGGUUCUUUAUAUUCGAAUAUUACUACUUCAUUUUCAUUUCUUCCAGAAUAUACAGAAGAUAUUUGCAUAUAACUUUAGUCCCUAACGAAGCGUCCAUCUGUAACAUUCUACGUCUUAUUUUCACAGUGUCAAAUUUUUACAUAAAUCUGAAUUUAUCGUUAACUCUGAAACUCUUAACUUAACUCUGUCGAUAUUACUAUAAAUGUAUCAAUCGUCUGUACGCAAAGCGUGCAACAACGACUCUGUCCCUGCGUUAAUAAAUUAAAUCUCUAAAAAAAUAAGAAACCAAAAUCGACAGAAAAAGGUGAAAUAAGUUUCUGUAGCAGAAGCUGCAGCGCAAACUCUGGCUACGUGGCAGGAAACGUUUCCUUUAAUUUCCUCUUCUUAUCUAACCGCGAGGGCAGAGAAUACUCUGAAAACGAUAUUCGCGUAGAACACGAGGAAUAUGAAGCGCGAACAAGGUCGGCCGAGUGGUCGGGAGGAAAAAAGCUGCCGCAAAAUGGCUGUAGCCCGCUAGAAGCUUGUUCCACUAGCUUGGAGUAGGUGGAACUGGAAACGAAGGUGGGGCCGUGCGGUUUGCAGGUGCGCUUUCGCCAAAGGAUCGCGUAUGGAUCGACUCUUUUCACCGUGGAUAAAGACAGCCCCUGGUAUGAAGAGAAGAGAAGAGAAGAGAAGAGAAGAGAAGAGAAGAGGAAAGGAGAGGAAGAAGAGAGGCGGGAACCAAGCGGUAGAAUAACAUUUUGCCAGAAGCAAAAGAAGAACAUUUUUACGGAAACUAGACUGCUGCUAACCGUGCACCAAGUUCCAGCGAGAACGUGUCGUAUAAUACGAGACAGAAGAAGAAAGAGGGAGAGAGAAAGAGAGAGAGAGAGAGCGAGAGAGAGGGAACGAUAGAAAUGGGGAAAAAGUACAGAAGAGGGAAGGUUGGAAAAAGUCCGGGAAAACGAGGAGCAUAGUAAGAGGUGGGAUUGUAGGUGGAGGCGGAACUGAAGGCUCCGCCUAUGCUUUCCAUCCUCCACCUGCCACCAGUUGACCUCUACUUACGCGCCAAUUCACGUGCCACUACUACCUUCCACACUUCACCACCUCUGCUCAUUUCCUCGGUACCCACUGCUUUGUUCCCUGCCCGAUCUCGUUUAAACUCCUCUUCCACCUGACAUCGGUUAACCUCAGCCAAGGGGCUUUUUCCCACACUCGAAAUUUCCCUUACUCGUUCGAUACUCUACGCGACCCCGGUCGUGUAGCUCGAGUAUUUUCACGAUAUUACCAGGCCAGUGCCACAAAUAUACAGGUUCGACUCUCUUCGGUUCGAUCCUUCAAUUUUUUCCAUCCCUCUAUCUUGCUGUCGUUUUAGCCACACGGAAGAUUUGUAGCGUUUCAAGGGAAUAAUAUACAACGUAAAAUUCGGACGAGAUACGAGUCAAGACGCAUAACAGUGGCAAUUUUUCUGCAUUUUUCGAGUAGCUUUUAAUAGUGAAAUAUACCAUGGGAAUGAAAGUGUACAAAUGUUCCUUCGUAUUUUACUGGAAUUUGAAGUUUCUCUUAGCGUUAGAAAAUAUCAUCGAGUUGAAAAUGAUCGAAAGAACGCAGUUUCUAAGCUACCGCGUAAUGACAUCUUAGCGAAGAUCGCCAUUCGCGUGUUGCUCGUCCCGUUUGUCUAAUGUGAAAGCUAAUUGACAAAGAAAUUGUACAACGGUUGAUGGACGAUUGGACGUUAUAUCGAGAUGUCCGAUCAGAGUCGAAUGCUGGUGCUUGUUUAUCGAGGGAUUUGAUUUUAAUCCUGUGCCUAGUUCCUGCCACGUAAUAAAAUGGCCAGGUUAAUAAUUGCGCUUCCACUACCAAAGGAACGGUACCAAAUAACAAGCUGCUUCUCAAGCCGACUUUAUUCUAACAACCAUCAUCUGCUAUAGCCACGAUAUAAAUCGUCUGUUCGAUUACAAAAGAAACAGUACAAAUGAAAAAUCGAUGAAUAGAAAAUCCAUUUCCGAGCAAAGCUUGUUUGAACAGCCCAGACUGCUCGUCUUCUACAGAGAAAUCGUUUCUGCCAGAGAAACAUUACGAAACAACAAUUAUUUUCCAACCAGACUUUGCUCUAAUAACUCGAGCGGUUGCUCUUCCCUGGCCGUAAUAUGCCACCAUCCCUUCGUCUACCAAAGAGACGGUACAAACUUAACAAAAUGAUCUUUCAAGACGCAACAUGCAUAUACGUAGUCUACGACAAAAUUGUUAUCUUUCAUAUCCACAAGCAUCGCGACGUACGAAGAAAAAGUAUACCAAGUAAGUUGCAAAAUGAACAACGAUGUAAACGUACUAUUAGGUCGUCCGAAAAGUUUCUUUCGUUUUGUAAGGAAAUAAUGGACGCAGAAGAUUUUUGAAUUACGUAUAAUCCAUUUUGUCCUAUCAAAAUAAAGAUCGCAACGUUCGACGGAUUAGGUUUCACGUUUGUAUAAAAAUGCAUCGUUGUAAGGGACGUGUCUGUAAAAGAAAGACACUUUCCGGGCAACUUAAUACUCGAAACUGUACAGUGAAACGUAUCUUGCAGAGCAGCGCGACGAGUGGAGGAAAGAAAAUGCGUGAUAUCAUGGAUAAUACCAUGCAGUGAAGGAAAGAGCGGAGGAAUAAAGAAAAGGGGAAUAAGAUGGAAAUAAAAGAAGCAAUCGCGUCGGCGUCUCGCGAGCGUCUGACGGUUGGGAGCAAGGGUGGCAUCGGAUGCGUCGGAGGCGUCGGCGUAACCACGAGGAAGGGCGUGUUUCUGGGAGGAAAAGCGAAACGGGUGGCCGUACGACGGCGCAAGUCAAGCACCUGUUUUCGACGCCUGCGAACUCGAGCGUAAGGGACCUAUGAAACCGGUUGCGACCGCCUACCAUCCUAUCGAAACCAACGGAAUCCGCAUCCCUGAAGAACCUCUUCCACCUAUCCACCUAUCCACCUAGCCGUUUACCCACCUACGACCUCCGAUAACUUCACCGACCACCAGAUUCAGACCAGUCAGAGACGAGAAACACGCAGCUUUUUCCUCGUUUCUCCUUUCUCCACCUACUAACAAAUUUCUCUAUCUUGCUCUUUUAGUUGUAUACACAGAUUCGUAGAUAGACAGCUCGAACGAUAUCUUCUCUUUCCAACCGACGUAUGCAUCCCUCGGUUAACUGUCCCCCUUUCUUUCCGCUCUAUUUUCGUUCCUGUCUGUGUCAACGAGCAUAUCUUCCCGCUUCUGUUCUACUCUUUUAUCGUUGCUACGAUUUCGUAAUUAUUUUUUAUAUGUUUGAGAUAUGUCGUAUCGUAAGUAUAGGCUAGUAAUGGGAUUUCUAAUUUGCGGCCAUUGAUAGACUACGGAUUUCGCUGUAAAUUCGUAUUUCUUACGAUGUAACCGAGAGAGUAGAAACUAUAGGUAGAAAAUUGUUUUACAUACCAAGUAACAAGUAUUGUAGUAGGUUGUUCGAAAAGUUUCUCUCAUUUUAGAAGGAAAUAAUAGACGCACGAUGUUUUUUGUUUUAUAUUAGUUUAUCGAAUUAUGCACAAACGUAAUAAUAGAAAUAGAACGAAAUGGAUGAUACCUAAUUCAAUAAAAUAAUAUAAAACAGAAAUUGCUGUUCAUCUAUUAUCACCUUAUGAAACGAAAGAAACUUUUCGGAUAACCUAAUAGAAAGCCCUAUGCUUUGGGUAUUUCGUAUAGCCUCUUGUAUAGUGUGCAUUCUGUGCAAUUUUGCGUCGUUAAGUUUCCAGUAACUGCGUAAAAAUCCACGGUCUAUCGAUUGAGUAUGUGGAUUGGCAAGUUGGAGAAAACGAUGGUCCGAAUGCAUAUGUUUCUGACAAUUCAUGUUGCAGUGAAUAGAAUCGAAGAAGAAGAAAGAUGUGUAGGGUCCUGUGAUAAAAGAUACGUAUUAGACAGUGUGCGUGAUACUGGAUAUUCCAUAUAUUUAUGACGUUAUGUUUGUGAUAGAUGAGCAACGAAAAAUUGUCGAGGUUAACUGAUUGAAGAACAAGUGGAUGAAUUUGUAAUAGAAAAGUAUAUUGAAAUAAUUAAAAGUAUAAGUAUAUGUUGAAAAUGACAACUGCAUAUAAAAAAGUGCAAGAAAGGUUAUUCGGCUCGGAACGGUGUGAUAAAUUUAUCCGAAGAAUAAACUAAUAGCUAUUGUGAUCCUAUCUCUAAAUACAGAAAUAACAACAGUGUAAGUAUAAGUAUAAUGUAUAAGUUUAUGCUGAUUCAUAUCCUUAGUGUUAUCUCUUAGUGUUAUUAGACGAUGGAAUGAUAGGGAGCAGGUUCAUAUAUUUAUAACAAAAGGACAUUACCAAGAAAGGUAAGCUUAUAGCUUGGGCUAGAAGCUACAGGGAACAUAAAUAGAAAUCUAUUUAUUAGUUCCUUUGUUCCUAGACCUUGCAACCCAAAACAUAAAGUAUACUUAAGGGUACAAUAAUAUGCACCGCUCCUUAUUUACAAUAUUUCUGCGUAAUAGCAGUCUCCAGGUCACGGAUGUACGUAAAUAAAGAUGUAGAAUUUUUCUUGAAGCAGUUACUUCGACAAAGAUGGAUAAUCGCGUAGCCAAGAAAUAAAAUGAAACGAUAGUGUUGAAAAUUGAAACAGAUCAUCUUUCGACAAAUUUCGUCAGCGUUCCAGAGAAAAUGGUGAAAUCAAACAUUGCAACAAUUAGUUGUAAUAACUAUGAUGAUAGCAUAAGAAAUCCAUGUAAUUAAUAAUAACGAUAUAUAUUAAUCGCAGAUUGAACAACUAAAUUUUUCCCAGCAAUUAAAAAUGUACAAGCAUAGAAAAAAGAAAUUUAUUACGCCACAUUGUUAAGAAAUAAAUGGUACGAUACAUCUAACGAUGACAAGUUACGGAUCGUGUUCUUCCUGGUGAAUGCAAAUUUAUUCAAUGAGAUGCAGCCAACCGUGUUUAAGUGUUCGUUUUAUGCGCACUGUUUGACAAUAACAAUCUAUUUUACAGCCUUCUCGUUAUCGAUACAUAAACGACACAUCUUUUCUACGAGAAAAAGCUUCCGCUUUCCUAACUGCUAUUACGAAUCAACAUUUUUGAAUGCUUAUGGCUGGUCCUCGAUUUUUACCCAACAAUUCGUACCGGUUCCCGAGACAUUCGAUCUGAAACAUUUUUCAAAGGUUUUGUCGGUUUUGUGGCAAUCAGAUCUGCCUGUUUCGAAAAUACUGUUUUGAGAGAAACGAAUUUAAACUACAGUUUUCGAAAUCGUUGAACAAUCGGAAAAUUGUUCGCGUGAAAGUAAAUCGAAAAUAUAUAUUUUCCCAUAUAUAUCAUCGAGAGUUAAAAUUUUUCGCACAGAGCUUCGUUCUCGAGAAAAUUAAGUUUGAAUAUUCGUCGAGUAUUUCUCUAUAUGCAUUCCACAUACAACGCUCUAUUUCCUUUCUCCUACAUUCCCAAUAUUUCAUAUCCUCCAUAUAUCUUGACACAUAUAAACCAAAUAAACACAAAAGAAUAUGUUUCUAAAUAAAGAAGAUAUAUUUAUGGCAUAAAAUGCAGACCACAAAUUGGCCACAGGAAAUCGUCAUUUCGCAGGAACAAAGUUUACUAUCUCGUAAGAUGAAAUUUGUCUUCGCCCAUAGAGUCAUUUCGUUGGCCACAUUUCAGCGGGUGUUGUCAGUUAGGUAGUCGAAGCGACUGGGAAAUCAUCGCUUUGGCAAUUCUAAUUUAGCAAGCUGGAAUAACUAUCGGACUAGUUUGUACAACUAGUGUGGAAAACUAUGUGUGGAACACGGGAUAAAGGAGACAAGGAAACGAUAUAACGAAUGAUUUUUAAUAAACAUAUUAUUUAUUUAAUUUUUAUAUAAUAUAUAAUCAUCGAUACUUUUAGUUUGCAUUUUUAAUCCAAUCAUAUCGAUGUAACGUUACGCAGUGGAGAAGGAUGCAUCUAUAGAACGUAUUUUCAUAGAACAAAUAUCUGAAUCUAAGAUAUAUAAGGCACAAUUGUUGUAUCUUACUAUUCUCGAAUAAAAAUAAUUGACUUAUUUCAUCGCCGUAGUUUAACACGUCCGUAUCAUUUUUCUUUUUUUUUUUUUUUUUUUUU